rnacentral:rRNA from 1 species
UUGACGGUACCUAACCAGAAAGCCACGGCUAACUACGUGCCAGCAGCCGCGGUAAUACGUAGGUGGCAAGCGUUGUCCGGAAUUAUUGGGCGUAAAGGGCUCGCAGGCGGUUUCUUAAGUCUGAUGUGAAAGCCCCCGGCUCAACCGGGGAGGGUCAUUGGAAACUGGGAAACUUGAGUGCAGAAGAGGAGAGUGGAAUUCCACGUGUAGCGGUGAAAUGCGUAGAGAUGUGGAGGAACACCAGUGGCGAAGGCGACUCUCUGGUCUGUAACUGACGCUGAGGAGCGAAAGCGUGGGGAGCGAACAGGAUUAGAUACCCUGGUAGUCCACGCCGUAAACGAUGAGUGCUAAGUGUUAGGGGGUUUCCGCCCCUUAGUGCUGCAGCUAACGCAUUAAGCACUCCGCCUGGGGAGUACGGUCGCAAGACUGAAACUCAAAGGAAUUGACGGGGGCCCGCACAAGCGGUGGAGCAUGUGGUUUAAUUGGAAGCAACGCGAAGAACCUUACCAGGUCUUGACAUCCUCUGACAACCCUAGAGAUAGGGCUUUCCCUUCGGGGACAGAGUGACAGGUGGUGCAUGGUUGUCGUCAGCUCGUGUCGUGAGAUGUUGGGUUAAGUCCCGCAACGAGCGCAACCCUUGAUCUUAGUUGCCAGCAUUUAGUUGGGCACUUUAAGGUGACUGCCGGUGACAAACCGGAGGAAGGUGGGGAUGACGUCAAAUCAUCAUGCCCCUUAUGACCUGGGCUACACACGUGCUACAAUGGACAGAACAAAGGGGUGCGAGACCGCAAGGUUUAGCCAAUCCCACAAAUCUGUUUUCAGUUCGGAUCGCAGUUUGCAACUUGACUGCGUGAAGCUGGAAUCGCUAGUAAUCGCGGAUCAGCAUGCCGCGGUGAAUACGUUCCCGGGCCUUGUACACNCCGCCCGUCACACCACGAGAGUUUGCAACACCCGAAGUCGGUGAGGUAACCUUUAUGGAGCCAGCCGCCGAAGGUNNNAG